rnacentral:rRNA from 1 species
CCUACGGGAGGCAGCAGUGGGGGAUAUUGCACAAUGGGGGGAACCCUGAUGCAGCGACGCCGCGUGGGUGAAGAAGCGCCUCGGCGCGUAAAGCCCUGUCAGCAGGGAAGAAAAUGACGGUACCUGAAGAAGAAGCCCCGGCUAACUACGUGCCAGCAGCCGCGGUAAUACGUAGGGGGCAAGCGUUAUCCGGAUUUACUGGGUGUAAAGGGGGAGCAGACGGCGAUGCAAGCCAGGAGUGAAAGCCCGGGGGCCAACCCCGGGACUGCUCUUGGAACUGCGUGGCUGGAGUGCAGGAGGGGCAGGCGGAAUGCGUGGUGUAGCGGUGAAAUGCGUAGAUAUCAGGAGGAACACCGGUGGCGAAGGCGGCCUGCUGGACUGCAACUGACGUUGAGGCCCGAAAGCGUGGGGAGCAAACAGGAUUAGAUACCCCAGUAGUC